GACGAACCGUGCGAACGUUGUUCGGAAUCACUGGGCUUAAAGGGCGCGUAGGCGGGUGAGCAAGUCCGGGGUGAAAUCUUUCGGCUUAACCGGAAAAGUGCCUUGGAUACUGCUCGUCUGGAGGAAGGUAGGGGCAGGUGGAACUUCUGGUGGAGCGGUGAAAUGCGUUGAUAUCAGAAGGAACGCCGGUGGCGAAAGCGACCUGCUGGACCUUUUCUGACGCUGAGGCGCGAAAGCUAGGGGAGCAAACGGG
rnacentral:rRNA from 1 species